rnacentral:rRNA from 1 species
UACAGAGGUCUCAAGCGUUGUUCGGAUUCAUUGGGCGUAAAGGGUGCGUAGGUGGCGCCGUAAGUCGGGUGUGAAAUUUCGGAGCUCAACUCCAGAACUGCCUUCGAAACUGGCGAUCUUGAGUCCGGGAGAGGUGAGUGGAACUGCGAGUGUAGAGGUGAAAUUCGUAGAUAUUCGCAAGAACACCAGUGGCGAAGGCGGCUCACUGGCCCGGUACUGACGCUGAGGUGCGAAAGCGUGGGGAGCAAACAGG